rnacentral:rRNA from 1 species
CUACGGGUCGCUGCAGUGGGGAAUAUUGGACAAUGGGGGAAACCCUGAUCCAGCAAUGCCGCGUGUGUGAAGAAGGCCUGCGGGUUGUAAAGCACUUUCGGUUGGGAGGGCUGCUUCUAGCACUAAUAUUGUUGGAAGUUGACGUUACCUUCAGAAGAAGCACCGGCUAGCUCCGUGCCAGCAGCCGCGGUAAUACGGAGGGUGCAAGCGUUAAUCGGAAUUACUGGGCGUAAAGCGCGCGUAGGCGGCUAGAUCAGUCGGGUGUGAAAGCCCCGGGCUUAACCUGGGAACUGCAUCCGAUACUGUCUAGCUUGAGUACAGGAGAGGAGAGUGGAAUUCCACAUGUAGCGGUGAAAUGCGUAGAUAUGUGGAGGAACACCAAUGGCGAAGGCAGCUCUCUGGCCUGAUACUGACGCUGAGGUGCGAAGGCGUGGGGAGCAAACAGGAUUAGAUACCCCAGUAGUC